CGCCGACUGUCUGACGGAGCAGGAGGCCGCCUCCCGUGCGGCCAGGCUCGCGUCCCUGGCGGCGGCGGCCUGCUCGGGCCCCGGCGCCGAGGCCC
rnacentral:tRNA from 1 species